UUUUUUUUUUUUUUUUUUUUGGCAGUUUCCGAAAAGAUUUGAUGGGAUUGAUCGUCAUGAUAGAUAUUCAAAUCGGAAUGUUGUGUUCUUUGAUAUCAAUAUGAAAGGAUUAGAUGGCAUACAAGGAUGUUGGAACUGGGUGUGUCUUCAGAAGGUAUACACUUUAUGGAUAUGACGCACCUGUUAAGAAGAAGCCUCCCAGUAGGACCUGCAACUGUUGGCCAAAAUGGUGCUAUUGUCUGUGCUGUGGGUCUAAGAAAAAAAAGAGUGGAAAGUCAAAGAAAGAGACCAAGAAGAAAUCAAAACAUAGGGAAGCAUCGAAACAAAUAAAUGCACUUGAAAAUAUUGAAAAGGGUAUUGAAGGUAAGGAUUGCAAGUUUUGUUUUCAUGUGCCUUGUCUGAUAUAUAUUUUAUUUUCUAUAUUUGUUAAAAAGGACACUUCAGGCUAAUAUACGAAGCUGUGUUGCUAUUGCAAAAUUAAACAAUGAGAAACCAUCCAGUGUGUUCCUAAUUAAACUGCAGAAGAAGUUUGGGCAGUCACAAGUGUUUAUCACCUCCGCACUCAAGGAGGAUGGUGGAGUUCCUUAAGUUGCUAGUCCUGCCUAUCUUUUACAAGAAGCCAUCCAAGUCAUAAGUUGUGGAUAUGAGGACAAAACAGAUCAGGGAAAGGAAAUUAGCAACUAUGCAAGUCUUUCAUAACUAUUGUUGCCAUCAGUACUCUCGAGAUGUAGUGGGGUGGGGUUGGGAUAGAUGACUGGUGGAGAAAUGACCAAUUCUGGGUAAUUGGAGGCGUUGCAUCGCAUAUUUUUGCUCUAGUCCAGGGUUUACUUAAAGUUCUGGGUGGUGUGAACACAAACUUCACAGUUACCUCCAAGGCAGCAGAUGAUGGAGAAUUUUCAGAGCUCUACAUCUUUAAGUGGACAUCCUUGUUGAUUCCCCCUACAACUUUAUUGAUUAUAAAUAUAGUUGGUGUUGUGGUUGGGAUUUCAGAUGCCAUCAAUAACAGGUAUGAUUCAUAUGUUUAAACUCUAUAUGUGUGAGUGCGUGUGUCUAUAUAUAUAU